rnacentral:lncRNA from 1 species
UUGUUCAUUGCGAGUUUUCAUAUUUUAAUAUUAUCGUACAAUAACUUCAUUAUCGAAUUUCAAAAAUAUAUCUUUCUCUACAUAAACAAUUGUGCUAUCAUUCAUCACAAAUUCACAAUUUCACAAUUUCAAUUCACAGUCCAAUUCACAAUUUCACAUAAUGAAUUUGCAGUCCAAUACCAAUAUUUACUAUCAAUCCAGUGCAACUCACAUUUCACAAUGCAAUUUACAAUUCACAAUUUUACAUUAUCAAUUCACCGUCCAAUUCGCAAUUUCACAAUGCAAUUUAUACUAUUUCCAAAUCUUAAGCAACUUGAACUUACAAUUUCACAGUCCACUGGAAGCCGGGAAGCCUGCUGUCCGUACCUCUUUGAGCAAUCGAAGUCCAAAGUGCUAAUUACAUUUCAUAUGUUAAAAACAAAAAAGAAUUCAAAAUAACAACAAAUAAGGGAAAAAAAAAUUCAAAAUCACUAGACACUGCCAAUCUGCCAUACUAGUGAAAAAUUGAAAUUGGGAGGGACUUUACCUUCUUCUAGCUUCUUUCGUUGGGUUGGCUGCCUCAAAUUGCUGGAAGAAUAGCCGGUUCUGGUGGCGGUUUAAGGAUGGCGGCGAAUGAGCGACUAGAGUCGGCGACGGAGAUUAGAGUGCCUAGUCUAGGAGAUGCCGGACUGGAAGUCUGGAAUGGUUGGAAAGUGGCAGUGACCGGCACCGACAGAGAGGAAGUGGCGACCGGUCCGAACGAGACGAACUCACGAGAGACACGAAGGGAAGGGUUUUGAUUUCAGUUUUCAAAUGGAUGAAAUAU